rnacentral:pre_miRNA from 1 species
UGUAAGAGCCGCGGAGGGAGCGAGCGAGCCGGCUAGAGGCCAGCGCCGCCGCCACCGCCGCCGCCUCCGAGC